UACAGAGGGUGCAAGCGUUAAUCGGAAUUACUGGGCGUAAAGCGUGCGCAGUCGGUUAUUUAAGUCGGAUGUGAAAUCCCCGGGCUCAACCUGGGAACUGCAUUGGUGACUGGCAGGCUUUGAGUGUGGCAGAGGGAGGUAGAAUUCCACGUGUAGCAGUGAAAUGCGUAGAGAUGUGGAGGAAUACCGAUGGCGAAGGCAGCCUCCUGGGCCAACACUGACGCUCAUGCACGAAAGCGUGGGGAGCAAACAGG
rnacentral:rRNA from 1 species